UCAGCGAUUUUUUUUCUUGCCACAAUAACCGCUGACGCUUCUAAGAAGUGUCGGUAAAAAACGUUCUGCCGAUGCUUUUUUUUAGCGUCGGCGUAUAGGGUCCAUUACCGACGCUUAUAAAUGUCGGAAUAUUUAUUUCCGACGCUUAUAAGCGUCGACAUAAUGGAGAAAUACGACGACGCUUAUAAGCGUCGUCGGACUUCAUCCCUCCCACAACAAAACCCGAUCGACCUUCUCCCUCCGCAGCCCUAAAUCCCUAGCUAGCUCACGUCGACCGACUCCCUCCCUCCUCAACCCUUUUUACCGAUCUCAGCCAUUCCCCUCCGCCGAGCGACCCUAAAUCGCGUUCCUCCGCCGCAUCUCCUUUCCCUCCUCCCCCUCUCCGUUGGCCUCCUCUCCGUGGACAUCUUCCUCCUCCUCCACCGCAGAGCACUCACACGGCGUUUGAAGUUUGGAGCCGGCAAGGACAGGGACAAGGCCAGGUUUGGGAUCUUCUUCUCUUGCUUCGAUCUUUAAAUUCUAGAUGUUUUGGAUUUUCUUUUCUUUUUAUA
rnacentral:lncRNA from 1 species